CUCUCCGAAACGGCCACUUGCUCUCCGUUCCUCCUCCGCUUGCCUGUGUGUCAAUCAACACACACUGCCGCUUGCUUGACAGCGCUGUGCUGAGUAGUAGGACACGAGGUAUUGGGAUUCUUCCUGUUGCUGUAAACUCUUAUUUCUGUAUAGCGCUUACACAGCGUUUGCACCUUUGUGAUCUCGUGCAACACUUACUGGGCACCUACUGUGUUCGCCGCCCUGUGCUGGAUGCUGCGUCCACAGGGACACUCCCGGCCUCAAAGGGUUGGAGUGGGCGCGCAGAUCACGAUGUGAAAACGCACAUGCACAUCUUCCGGCCCCACCGCAGAACCGGGGUCCUCCCGGCGCCGCGGGCUGAGGCCAGCCAAUGAGAGGCACGCGGAAGGGCUGCAAGUCUGAAGCGCUCAGAAGAUGAGACGAUAUGAUGGACCGACGGACUCAAGGACAGAGAGGCCGAGAGAUUCGGGGGCCUGUGAGAGUAAGAUGUUAAUCCCCUGGUAGCCUCUGGUCUACUUUCUAUGGAUUUGCCUAUUCUAAAUAUUUCACACAAAUGGAAUCAGACAAUAUUGGUCCUUUGUGUCUGGCUGACUUCACUCAGCAUAAUGCUUUCCAGGGCAGCGAAAGGCCACGUCCUCCCAGCUCCAUUUGUGACUGGACGAGCGGACCGCACCGUGUGAGUCAGCCUGUUGUGGAAGCGUCUGAGAGUCAUUGCUCUGACUGUGCUGACGAAGCACAGAGAAGAAGGAAGGCCUGACCCCUGCCAGCCCGGAUGUUCCCUGAGGGCCUCUUGCUCUUCUCCACACUGUGGCCAGAGGCCUCUGUCACAGGCAUUAAUCUGGGCUUGUCUGUGUCCUGCCUAACAGCUUCAGGAGGAAGUCACCCUGUGCCCCAGCGCCGAGGCCUGCCCUCUGGAACUUGUCUCUUUGAGGUCCUCACCACGCCUCCAGCCCUGGGCUGGGCCAGGACACCCGGCUCUGUAUUCUCACAGCUCUUGCUCCCCUGACCUUAACACUCAUCCCAGCUGGAGGUUGGAGGUCGUGACUCCUCCUUUGCUGUCUUUCCCAGUGGAGUGUAGGCCCCUCCACAGCGGGGGCCAAGCUGUAGGCUGUGCAGAGCCCACGGCGGGCCCACCGGCAUUUGAUGAUGACAGGAAGCGCUCCUCACAUUCCACUGUAACUGCACGUCUUUCUUUGAGGGCAGACCUGCAGUUGGUUCAUUUCUAUAUCCUCAGCUUUUACUCUGAUCAAAGACCUGGCUCCACAUUCCAAAGGUGUGUGGGCUCUGAUUUCAGUGACCAGGUAGGCCUUUCCGUGACCUGGCCGGGAACGGGCUCCAAGGUCCAUCGCCCACGCUCCACAUGCGGUGUGGGGAGCACAGCAAGGUCUCCUACCCUGAGGGAAGGAAAGGGUUACAGCACUCACCUCUCAGGGCCCUCCCACUCCACCCCCUGCGACAGGUGAGACAGAUGAGGGUAGUGGGUGUGGUCCCAGCAGCCCUGGGGCCCCAAGGAGCCGGGCCUCUCCUUCCAGGUUUAGAUCUGGAACAGGGCCAUGGUUUUGUCCACAGUUCCAACAGGUGUAAUGGCAAUGUCAGGGGGUCACAGUGAGUGUCCUGGCUCCCCCGGCUGUGUUGAGACACAGAGCCAUGAGGCCCCCUUCUUCACAGGUCUCAUGGGUGUCGUGGUUCCUCCCUGAGGCAGCCAGGGGCUGGGCUGCUUGAACAUCAAUCCUUUCAAAUCAUAUCAUUAAAAUCUACUCCCACACCUGUAUUUCAAAGAUAACAUUUGUGCCUGAAAUUGCCACAACUACAUUAUGGCAAAGUCACAUCAUCUGGCUCAUAAUUUAAGGCUUAGAGGCUUCAACUAAUGUAGGUGACAGUCUGGUGGCCAAAAGGAGAAAGUCUGAUUACCAAGUGGCAUUUGCUGGGAGGUCUGGGUCCCCUCCAGCACCUCACGCACAUGUGCAUAAGAGGCACUCAGUGAGUGUUUGUGGAAUCUAUGAAUGAUAUGACGUUUCUAUCCUGAGUCUCAGGGUCUUUUUCUAUUCAGAAAUCUGUCCCCAGACCAGCCGGGUGGCUCAAUGGUUAAGUUCAGGGGCUCCACUUCAGCAGCCCGGGGUUCACAGGUUUGGCUCCUGGGCAUAGACCUAGCACCACUCGUUAAGCCACGCUGUGGAGGCAUCCCACAUAAAAUAGAGGAAGAUUGGUGCAGAUGUCAGCUCAGCAACAAUCUCCCUCACAAAAAAAAAAGAAAAGAAAUCUAUCCCCAAUUAUCACACACACUCACCACAGAGCAGGUCUUUGCUCACUGAAGGGAAGCAGGGCGUUGGCCCCAGUGAGCUGAUUCAGCCUUACAAUCUUUAAGUCACCAGAGCCAAAGAGGGGUGCAGGUGGGAAUCUUCUAGAACAUUGCUUUUCUCUGCAGAAAGAGGCAAUUAGCUAGUGUGUGGGGGGGUGGGGGGAGAUGUAGAAGGAAUACAGCCCAUUAGGUCUACAGAAGUGGCUGAAGCUGGUAUUUCUGCUUUCCCUUGGGAUAGGGGCUGCUGGAAGGUGCCCCUCCCACCCAACAGUGGGAUAGCCGCUGGGGUCAAAGUGGUGAACUUUGGAGACAGAAUUGGUUCCUCCCUAAUUAAGAGAUGUUAAGUAGGUAAACAAACACUGCGUAAGUGCUACAAAGGAGAUGCUACGUCCUUCUUAUCAUAUCAUCACAUCACUCCUUCUUCCCUCCCCAGAGUUAAGCUGUGGUGGGUCCCAGGAUCUAAUCUACACUGUUGCCACAGCACCCAAGAAAAUGUUAAAAAUUACCAUCUCUAGUGCUGUGACUAUGGAAGAUGCUUGAUUUUUUUCCUAUCAUAUGAAUGCGUUUUAUUUUAUUUGUUUUUGCCAAAUUUUUAUAAUGAACAUGUCAUAUUCACAAAACAAAGGGCUAAAGCCAAUAGAGUUAUUUUCAGAAGAAAGGAGACUGAGUGGAUUCCUGUAGAGGAGAAAAUUUUCCCAGCCCAGCUUGGAGGGAGGGGCCUUCUGAUGAUCCCGUCCAGCCUGAUGGCCACCGUGGGCGGGUUCUGACCACUGGGUGACCUGCACCCAGGGUUAUGUGAAAUUCAUGAGAACCAUUUCUAAGUGGUUAAAGAAAGAUGAGCUACUUAUAAAUUCCUUCCUUUAACAGCUGAUAUCUUCAACCUUCCUUCCCCACUCACUCUCAGCUAUGUAGGGGAGGGGCGGGGGAGGUGGUAGAAAUGGGGGAACCCCAGUCCUCUUGCUCCCACUCCUGCUCCCACACAAAGCUGGGCUGGCACAGGCAGCUUAUUCCAGUGCAGUGGACUUCCCUGAAAACGAGCCAGAACUUCGUGAGUUCCCAUGGCGGUCCUGGCCUGGGCCAGGGGCUGUGCUGUAAUGAAAGAGCAGACGUUAUCAUCUUCAUUCUAGAGAAAGGACAAUUUCAUCAGAAAGACAAAGCACAAGCAAAAUAAACAUCUGAAGAACACUGGCCCAAAUAAUGUAAUUAGAUAGGAUUUCAGGGAUUGAAUUCUUUUUGUAUUACAAAAUACAUCUUAUUUUGGUUUCACAAAUAAUGCUUAUAUGAAAAAACUUUUCUCCAUACGUUCACCCAGGGCGGCUUCAUGGAUGUGCAACCUAUGCGGUCACACGUGCUCAGAAGGGUCCCACACUUGGUGUAAUGCUCUGCCGUCACCAUCUUGAAAUUCUCAACGAUUUGAUCGUUGAACUUGGGUUUUGUAAGUGAACUCCAUCGGUGGAGGGAGCAGAAGAGAUGCACGCACUAUGCCAGUCCACAGUUCCUUGCUGACCACUCACAUAUGGUGUUCACCGUGCCCUGUGAGCGCUGAACUGGGGGGACCCACGCCGCGUGGGAGGUCAGCAAGACACAGUGAAGACAAAGUAAGUGUCUUACAUCUCUGACUAGGUGGGGCUGAUAACAGACCCAAGAUGUCACACUUUCUGUUGGGACCAGAAUUUGCUUCAAAUGCAGAAAAAGGCAAUGGCGUUCAAAGGACAUAAACGACCAAGGACUUCUGCCACAUGCUUUCUUACUCGUGUGACUUCCCUGUAUUAGCCAACCACUUCAUGCUGAAAACGACGACAUAGAAGGAAAGAGAAAGAAGAUAGUGCCUUCUCUUUUCUGUCCUUCCUUACUCAUCAGUGAGCCAAAGGUAGAGAAUAGGGUAGAAUGUGCGCACGUUAGGAAGUGAAAUAAACACAGUGGAGUAUUUCCACUUUCUAGUAAGAACGAAAUACAGAUGCGUGUACAAACAAAACACAGACUGUGUAAUUUCACCCAUUCUACAUACAAGUUAAAAGCUCUCAUAUUUGCAUUUAAAAUGACAUUGCACAAUAUAAAAAUGAAAGAUAAAAUUCAUGCUAAUAAUUCUAAUGUUUAAUUUUUCUUUACUUAACAACAUUAAAGAGCAAAUUAAAAAACACUAUGAGAAGCUGAGAGAAAGACUACAGGAGAAGGGAAAAAGCUUUCUAUUUCAACACCAUCUAUGGCACUUUCUUCCUUUUGUUUUGAACAAGGGCCCCACGUUUUCAUUUUGCACUGGGCCCUGCAAAUUGUGGAGUCGGCCCUGCUGUCACCAGGAAUGGAUAUUAUCUUUUUAUUAUUAUUAUUUUUUUUUAAUUCUUUUUUUAUUUUUUUGAGGAAGAUUAGCCCUGAGCUAACAUCUGCUGCCAAUCCUCCUCUUUUUGCUGAGGAAGGCUGGCCCUGAGCUAACAUCUGUGCCCAUCUUCCUCUACUUUAUAUGUGGGACGCCUGCCACAGGAUGGCUUGACAACAGGUGCGUAGGUCUGCACCCAGGAUCCAAACCAGCGAACCCCGGGCCACCAAAGCGGAAAGUACGAACUUAACCACUGCACGACUGUGCCAGCCCUAUUGAUCUUUAAAGUCUGUGCUCUAACAAAGGUACAGAGCUACUGGAAGUCUCAUGCAUUGCUGGUGAGCAUGAAAAGGGUACAGGACUUCAGGAAGCAGUUUGGCAGUUCCUUAUAAAGUGAUCUACACACCUACUGCAGACCCAGCAGCCUCUCCCCUGGGUAUUUAUCUAAGUGAAAUGGAAACUUAUGUUCAUACAAAAACCUACAUAUGAGUAUUUAUAGUGGCUUUAUUCAUAAAUGCACAAAACUAGAAACAGCCCAGCGUCCUUCAGCUGGGAAACAGAUAAACUGUGGUACAUCCAUGCAAUAAAAUACUACUUAGCAAUAACGAGUAGCCAACCACUGACACAUGCCACAAUAUGGAUGAAUCCCAAGUGCGUUAUGCUAAGCGGAAGAAGCCAGGCACAAAAGGCUCACACUAUGGGAUUCCACUUAUAGAACAUUCUGGAAUAAGCAAACACUGCUCAGUGGUUGCCAGGGGCUGAGGGUGGGGGAAGCAGUUGACUACAGAAGAGAGUGGGG
rnacentral:lncRNA from 1 species